rnacentral:rRNA from 1 species
UGAGCCAAGUUUAGGGUUUUCUCAAAACCCAAGCAGUAUUGAACUGAAGAGUUUGAUCAUGGCUCAGAUUGAACGCUGGCGGCAGGCCUAACACAUGCAAGUCGAGCGGAUGAAGGGAGCUUGCUCCUGGAUUCAGCGGCGGACGGGUGAGUA